rnacentral:rRNA from 1 species
UACGUAGGGGGCGAGCGUUGUCCGGAUUUAUUGGGCGUAAAGAGCGUGUAGGCGGCCAGGUAGGUCUGCUGUGAAAACUCGAGGCUCAACCUCGAGACGUCGGCGGAAACCAUCUGGCUAGAGUCCGGAAGAGGAGAGUGGAAUUCCUGGUGUAGCGGUGAAAUGCGCAGAUAUCAGGAAGAACACCCGUGGCGAAGGCGGCUCUCUGGGACGGUACUGACGCUGAGACGCGAAGGCGUGGGGAGCGAACAGG